GGCACUAUUUGGAGGUGGGGGUGCCCUGGCCGAGCUGCAGCAGGGAAUUGGUGGCGUAGUUCUGGAAGAGGGGCUGCAGGAACAUCCCGACGGUGCCGAAGAUGCAGACGAAGACGAAGAUCCAUAAGAAGAGGCGGUCGAUGACCAUGGCCACGUACUUCCAGUCCUCGCUCACACUCUGGUCGUCGUCCUCGCUGCGCAUGUGGUCUGCAAUGAAGCGCACUCCCUCCACCGCCUCCUCCAGCCCGCAGCCGCACGGUGCCGGGGGAUCCGGCCCCUGCCCCUGCCGCUCCCGGUAACCAUUGAGCCCCUCGGCUUUGGCAGCCCCAGGGUUGGCAUAGCAGGCGCAGGCACGAGCACCGGCCCGGAGGAAAAGCGUGGCAGCUGCGGCACGCUCCUGGGUUUGGCGACGCUGGCGCAGGCGUUGCCUCGCGCAGUUCUGCUGCGGCUGCUUCAUGAAGAGCAGCGCCGGGAGCUUGCGGAGGAAAAGGGUGCGCACCCAGGGCGGCAUGGUG
rnacentral:lncRNA from 1 species